CAGUAGCCGCGGGAAUACGUAGGGUGCAAGCGUUAGUCGGAAUUACUGGGCGUAAAGCGUGCGCAGGCGGUUAUGUAAGACAGUUGUGAAAUCCCCGGGCUCAACCUGGGAACUGCAUCUGUGGCUGCAUAGCUAGAGUACGGUAGAGGGGGAUGGAAUUCCGCGUGUAGCAGUGAAAUGCGAAGAUAUGCGGAGGAACACCGAUGGCGAAGGCAAUCCCCUGGACCUGUACUGACGCUCAUGCACGAAAGCGUGGGGAACAAACAGGAUUAGAUACCCCUGUAGUCCCUGUCUCUUAUAC
rnacentral:rRNA from 1 species